AAUAUUCUUGCAAACCCUAAACCCUUCAUCGUCCUCCCCACAACACACACUAACACUACAUUUCCCUCUUUCCACCUCCAUUGAAGAAGAAAUGAAAGCUUCAAGUUUAAACCCAUAGCUCCAAUUUUCGAAAUUAAGGGCUACAGCUUACAACCUUCAACCCCUUCACAUCUCAAGCUCUACAACUGCACCCCACCGGUCUUCUGCCGCCUCCUGUUUCACUGCCCGUUUUUCUGUUGCUUUAUAUAUAUACAUAUAUAUCCUAGUCGAUUAUCGGUGGUACAACAUUUAGAUGCAUCGAACUGUGGUAUUAUGGAGCCGUAGAGGAAUCAGAAACAGAGCUACGAUUUUCUCACGCAGUUCAACAUUUAUCAACUCUCAAUUGAAUAAUGAUGUGCGUUCCAGAAAUGAUAAUGAUGUUUUUUCAUUCAGAGCAUUUACAUACAGCACUUAUUCUUUCACAAGGCUGCCACCUAAUCCAAAUGACCCGGCCACCUUGAUGAAGGAGGAUGGUGUGGCGGUUUGUUCCCAAAUGUGGAUUGAGAAUUUCAGGGAGCCUGAUAAAACUGUUACUAAUUUGACAAAUUAUUUGAGAAGGUUUGAGUUGUGGGUGUUGGCUUACCAGAAGGUGUGUGCGGAUGCGACUGGGGCAUACAUGCCCCGUAGCUCCAUCACGCGUUCUGCACUGGAGGAUUUGUUGGCGCUGCGCAAUGCAGUCCUUGAUUGCAGGUUUAAGUGGGGGGCUAGGCUGGAAUUUUUUAUUAGGUCCCCCAAUGACAAGACUGAUUAUGAAUCUUUGUCGAAGAGGAAGAUUAAGGCAAUCUUGACUACCACGCAGCCUUCACCUUUCCAGGAUAAGAUUGUCCAGGAGGUGCUUUUGAUGGUUUUGGAGCCGGUGUAUGAGGCAAGGUUUUCGCAGAAGUCAUAUGCGUUUAGGCCCGGAAGGAAUGCCCACACAGUUCUGAGGGUGAUCAGAAGAAGUUUUGCUGGUUACUUGUGGUAUAUAAAGGGGGAUUUGAGUUCAGUGCUCGAUGGUAUGAAGGUUGGAAUGGUGAUCAAUGCUCUGAUGAGGGAUGUUAGGGAUAAGAAAGUGAUUGAUUUGAUAAAGGCUGCAUUGACCACACCAGUUAUUACCGGUAGACCUGAUGAUGGAGAAAAGAAAAAGAAAAAGAAGAGGAAGUAUCAGAAGAAAAGAGUUUUGGCAGAGGAUGAGCCGAAACCUGAUCCAUAUUGGUUGGAAACGUUUUUCGGGUUUGCACCAGAGGAGGCUGAGAUACAUCCUUCUUGGGGUCAUUGUGGAAUCCUGAGUCCUCUUUUGGCUAACAUAUGCCUUGAUGAAUUGGACCGCUGGAUGGAAGACAAAGUUAAGGAAUUUUAUAAGCCGUCAACUAGUGAUGUCAUAUGGAACAGUCCUGAUGGGGAGGCAGAACAAGGAAAUACAUCUUGGCCGGAAUUUGUUCCUACCAGUGGUCCAGAUAAGACUCGGAAAAUUGAUUACAUACGUUAUGGUGGUCACAUCUUGAUUGGAGUUAGAGGACCAAGGGCAGAUGCAGCAACUCUAAGAAAACAGUUGAUAGAGUUCUGUGAUGAGAAGUAUAUGUUAAAACUGGAUAAUGAGUGCCUACCCAUUGAGCAUAUAACUAAAGGCAUUAUGUUUCUUGACCAUGUAUUAUGCCGUAGAGUUGUUUAUCCUACUCUUCGGUAUACAGCUACUGGUGGAAAAAUUAUCAGUGAAAAAGGCGUGGGAACUUUGUUGUCAGUUACAGCUAGUUUGAAACAGUGCAUUAAACAAUUUAGAAAGUUGAGUUUUCUCAAGGGAGAUAGAGACCCAGAUCCACAACCUUGUUUUAGAAUGUUUCAUGCUACACAGGCUCACACAAAUGCUCAGAUGAAUAAGUUUUUGUCAACAAUGGUGGAGUGGUACAGAUAUGCCGAUAACAGGAAGAAAAUAGUCAACUUUUGUUCAUACAUCCUUAGAGGCUCACUAGCAAAACUCUAUGCUGCCAAAUACAAACUGAGGUCAAGAGCCAAGGUUUACAAGAUUGGUGCUCGGAAUUUGAGUCGUCCCCUAAAAGAAAAGAAAGGGCAAUCACCGGAGUUCCAUAAUUUAUUGAGAAUGGGUCUUGUAGAAUCAAUAGAUGGGCUUCAGUAUACCCGAAUGUCUCUAGUACCUGAAACAGACUAUUCUCCAUUGCCAUUAGGUUGGAGACCAGAUCAUGAGAAAGCAUUGCUUGAAUAUAUAAAGCUUGAGGACUCGAGAACUCUGGAGGAGCAACGAGAAUGCCUAAAGGAAUGUGGCCUGGUUUCACCUCAGGAUUAUAUUUCAAUGCUUGUGUGGAAUUACAAAAGGAAUGCCAUUUCAGUAAAUCAUGUUCCUUAUAUACUAAGUAGUGAGAAUGAAAUAAGUAAAGAAUCCGGCUUAUUGAGCUCAAAUGAUGAAAGCUUUGAGGACGACAAGGAUAGAUGUAUUAUGGAAUAAAUAAAGAUUCUGGCUUAUUGUACUUCCGUUUAUGAUAUUUUUUCCGGUUCCUGGAAGCUUAAGCAUGUCAAUUAUCAUGUCUUCAGUGUGUGUCAGUCUUCCUUCAACAUUGGAAACAGUUUAUUGUUGAAUCUGCCUCCACUAGUUCUGCUCUGAUCUGCCCGUUUUCGGAAUGGAAUUAUAUAAGAGUUUAAAUUGUUUCACUUGUUUGCUUUUAGCCUUGCGAUGAAUGAAUAUGUUUUCUCUCGACAUGUUCUUGUUUAUAAUAAUUAUUGUUUCAUAUGCUAUUCAUCUGCUUAAGUUUGGUGUUGCGGUAUUCUGGAUGUAGAUAUUAUCAUUCUAAUGCUAUACCGAAAAGCCUUUAUAGUUCAACUGUGCUUCUUCAACCUGUUUUUUGCUUUGGACCUUAGAUUCUAAAAAAUGAAAAAGGUGUUUGCUAUGCUGAGGGCUUUGGUCGAGGUAAGGGAGGCCCUUAUAAAUAUGUAGUUCCAGAAGGAUUGGGAAGGCUUAUUUGGGAUGAUGUACGACAUGGCUUCCUCCCCAUGUUCUUUGCUUGAGCAGCAUCAACUUUUGUUUCAAUCAUCACUUGUAUUUCAUUUAAUGGUUUAUUAGCCCUUUACUUAAUGAUAAUGAGUUUUAUGUGACUUUUGUUUUAGAUUUUGGUUGCUGUAAACAUGGUAGAUUGGAGAAAAUUUGGAUGAAAUAUGGUAUAGUGAAGAUUAAGAAUGUCUAUUUCCACUCACAUUGUAACACUUCUAAUUAGCUUCUGUUUAUUUUGUGCACAUCUAUGUGAUAUACUUAAUAUGUUUCAAAGUGGUCUUGAACACGUCCCGAUGGGAUCUAAAAGGCAGAAAAGUAGCUGUAUGGUGGCUAAUGUUCAGUUUAACAAAGUUACAACGAAGAGGACGGGUCCCAUCCGCAUCCGCUCACGGAGAAGCAUCUACAUAGAGGAAAAAAACAGAUGCUGGAUGUGCUAAAGGUGGCCAAUGGCUUGUGUUCGUCUCCAACCAGAAACGAGGCCGAAGAUGAAGAGUGUGAUGCAGAGAUGCUGCUGAAUGCAAGGUAAUCAGGAAUAAGAGAGAUGAGCAAUUGGUUUUGCCCUGUAUCAAUUUUGAACAAAAAAACAAAAUUUUGAAACCAAUUUUUCUUUUUCA